UACGUAGGUGGCAAGCGUUGUCCGGAUUUAUUGGGUUUAAAGGGUGCGUAGGCGGCUUAUUAAGUCAGUGGUGAAAUACCCUAGCUCAACUAGAGGGGUGCCAUUGAUACUGAUGAGCUUGAGUACAGAUGAGGUAGGCGGAAUUGACGGUGUAGCGGUGAAAUGCUUAGAUAUCGUCAAGAACACCUAUAGCGAAGGCAGCUUACUAGGCUGUAACUGACGCUGAGGCAUGAAAGUGUGGGGAUCAAACAGG
rnacentral:rRNA from 1 species